rnacentral:rRNA from 1 species
AUUGAACGCUGGCGGCAUGCCUUACACAUGCAAGUCGAACGGUAACAGGUCUUCGGAUGCUGACGAGUGGCGAACGGGUGAGUAAUACAUCGGAACGUGCCCGAUCGUGGGGGAUAACGAGGCGAAAGCUUUGCUAAUACCGCAUACGAUCUACGGAUGAAAGCGGGGGAUCUUCGGACCUCGCGCGGACGGAGCGGCCGAUGGCAGAUUAGGUAGUUGGUGGGGUAAAGGCCUACCAAGCCUGCGAUCUGUAGCUGGUCUGAGAGGAUGAUCAGCCACACUGGGACUGAGACACGGCCCAGACUCCUACGGGAGGCAGCAGUGGGGAAUUUUGGACAAUGGGGGCAACCCUGAUCCAGCCAUGCCGCGUGCAGGAUGAAGGCCUUCGGGUUGUAAACUGCUUUGUACGGAACGAAUAGCCUCUUCCUAAUACGCAGGGUGAUGACGGUACCGUAAGAAUAAGCACCGGCUAACUACGUGCCAGCAGCCGCGGUAAC